CCGAGUUUACAGCUCCCAAACCCCUGCUGAACAUACCUAUACGUUGCCUCGGCGGAUCAGCCCGCGCCCCGUAAAAAGGGACGGCCCGCCCGAGGACCCCUAAACUCUGUUUUUAGUGGAACUUCUGAGUAAAACAAACAAAUAAAUCA
rnacentral:misc_RNA from 1 species